GCCUGGUUGGCUCAGUCAUAAGAGCAUGUGACCCUUGAUCUUGGGGUUGUGAGUUCGAGCCCCACAUUGGGUA
rnacentral:tRNA from 1 species